rnacentral:misc_RNA from 1 species
AACACACCUUGCACUCCUUGGUAUUCCAAGGAGUAUGCCUGUUUGAGUGUCAUUAAAUUCUCAAGCUGCUCUUUGUUUCUCAACUUGGAGGCAGUUCGGAUUUGAGAGUUGCUGGUUUUCUAUGAAUCAGCUCUCUUUAAAUGUAUUAGUGGUUUGGUUUUGUCCCACAUUCUCAAUUGAUAUUGAUAGUUUAUCUAUGUCAUGAAGAGAGUGAAUCCACUUUACAACUUGUUAUCAAUUAGCUUUUGUUGGCCUUUUAUAACACUUUUGACAAUUUGACCUCAAAUCAGGUAGGACUACCUGCUGAACUUAA